UACGUAGGGGGCAAGCGUUGUCCGGAAUCAUUGGGCGUAAAGAGCGUGUAGGCGGUCCGGUCAGUCGGUUGUGAAAGUCAAGGGCUCAACCCUUGAAUGCCGGCCGAUACUGCCGGGCUAGAGUCCGGAAGAGGUGAGUGGAAUUCCAGGUGUAGCGGUGAAAUGCGUAGAUAUCUGGAGGAACACCGGUGGCGAAGGCGGCAUCCUGGACCAACACUGACGCUGAGGAGCGAAAGCCAGGGGAGCAAACGGG
rnacentral:rRNA from 1 species